rfam:Salmo salar isolate Sally breed double haploid chromosome ssa10, whole genome shotgun sequence.
UUCAAGCAUAACUGUAAGUCGCUUUGGAUUAAAGCAUUUGCUAAAUGGCGUAUA